AAGGCGUUCGAGAGAACUCUCGUUAAGGAACUAGGCAAACGAGCCCCGUAACUUUGGAAGAAGGGGCGCCCCGCAAGGGGCCGCAGCGAAGCAGCCCAGGCGACUGUUUACCAAAAACACAGGUCUCUGCUAAGACGAAAGUCGAUGUAUAGGGGCUGACGCCUGCCCAAUGCCAGUCCAUUAAGCGGAGAUGUCAGGAGCAAUCUGAAGCAUUGAAGUGAAGUGCUGGUGAAUGGCGGCCGUAACUCUAACGAUCCUAAGGUAGCGAAAUUCCUUGUCGGGUAAGUUCCGACCCGCACGAAAGGCGUAACGAUUUGGGCACUGUCUCAACAAUAGACUCGGUGAAAUUGUAAUCCCGGUGAAGAUGCCGGGUACCUGCGACAGGACGGAAAGACCCCAUGGAGCUUUACUGUAGCUUGACGUUGGGUCUUGGUACUACAUGUACAGGAUAGGUGGGAGACUAUGAAGCAUGGACGCCAGUCUGUGUGGAGUCAUCCUUGGGAUACCACCCUUGUAGUACUGGGAUCCUAACCAUAGGCCUUGAAUCAGGUCUUGGAACACCGUCAGGUGGGCAGUUUGACUGGGGCGGUCGCCUCCUAAAAAGUAACGGAGGCGCUCAAAGGUUUCCUCAGCACGGUCGGAAAUCGUGCGAAGAGUGUAAAGGCAAAAGGAAGCUUGAUUGCAAGACAUACAGGUCGAGCAAGGACGAAAGUCGGACUUGGUGAUCCGGUGGUACCGCAUGGAAGGGCCAUCGCUCAACGGAUAGAAGCUACCCUGGGGAUAACAGGCUUAUCUCCCCCAAGAGUCCACAUCGACGGGGAGGUUUGGCACCUCGAUGUCGGCUCAUCACAUCCUGGGGCUGUAGUAGGUCCCAAGGGUUGGGCUGUUCGCCCAUUAAAGUGGUACGCGAGCUGGGUUCAGAACGUCGUGAGACAGUUCGGUCCCUAUCCGUCGCAGGCGUAGGAAAUUUGAGAAGACCUGUCCUUAGUACGAGAGGACCGGGAUGGACGUACCUCUGGUGUACCAGUUGUUCUGCCAAGGGCAUGGCUGGGUAGCUAUGUACGGAAUGGAUAAGCGCUGAAAGCAUCUAAGCGCGAAGCCAACUUCAAGAUAAGAUUUCCCACCGUAAGGGUAAGACCCCAGGAAGACUACCUGGUUGAUAGGUCGAAGGUGUAAGUGCAGUAAUGUAUUUAGCUUAUCGAUACUAAUAGGUCGAGGACUUGAGC
rnacentral:rRNA from 1 species